CUCUUCCUCUUUCCCCUCUUUCCUCCUGGGUGCAUGUCCAGUUUCACUUCUCCAUUCAUGGGCUCCUGGGCACCCACUGUGAGAAGCCAAGGGCCAUGGUAGGUGCAUUUGAAUACAGGGCCCAGACCCUUGGCAGUUGGAGUCUCAGGGUGAGGCUGGUCUGGGGCUGGUGCAUGUUGACUUUCUGCUUUCUUGGGAUGGAGUCAGUGAAGGCCCCAGGCUCUGCACAGCAGCCUCCUGGAGCCCCGGCUCCUAGGCCACCGUGUGUUUUGCAUCUGCAGCCUCAGCUCCCUGAAAGCUCCUGCUAUGUGCUGUGAGCCAGGAACCCAGCUGGUGCCAGUGGGCAGCAUUUGGCAUUUUGAGGGCCGCAGAAAGACAUGUGGGACCUGGGAUGUGGUUUCUAGCCUACUCGCAUUUGACGGUCCCCGGGCUUUGGCGCCACUGCUGACGUUGGGAUUUCAGCAGAACAAGGCUGGCUGGGGAACGCAGAUGCUCUCCCUGGAGACAGGGUGGGAGCAGUCCUGAGAAGGAAGCCCUGGUCUGUUUCUGGGUUUGGCUUGGCGGAAGGGGGUGAUGGGGUAGGAAGGCAGGGACUCCCUUUUAUAGCUGGCUUGAUUGCUUGGUCUUUGGUGAGAUCAUGAAUGUCACCUCCCACUGUCUUUUGGAAGCCAAGAUGCUUUUCUCUGUCUCCCACGGACCUCUGCUGCUCUGCUUGGGGACAGCACCGUUACUCACUCCUGCUGCCCCACCCCUCCCCAGCUCCACCUUCCUUUCAGAGAACCAGAGACAGGUGAGACCAGCAGAGUCCAGCAGCAGUGGGGAACACCACUGAUCCUGGCCGGCCACACCUGCCCUAGCUUGCUAGGUCAAUCAGCUAUUCUGGUUAACGGCUAAACAGGAACUAAAGUCACCUUCAAGAUUUUUUUCCCAGUGGUAGAUGGAAUUUAAUUACCAAUGAAAGGAAACAAACACAUUGAAUUAAUUGGAUUAAUUAAUUGAAUUAACAAGUGCAUUGAAUACUUUGUAUUUCUUGGGUAAUACCAGGGAGCAGAAGUUUGGGAGGAGGGACGACCUGGAUUGACUCUUCUUAAAGGCCCAGUCUUCAGAUAAGUUCAGCGAUGCUGGGAUGCUGGCUUGAGCAGCGGUUCUCCCAGUGUGGUCUGGGGAAAUGAUCGAGUCAGUUGCCAGCAGGGACCUAGAGCACGUGGGUGGCUUUUCCCAGCCUAGAGUCUCUGAUUAGUAGGUCAGGGCACCCAGGGAACUGUGUUUCUGAACUGUUCCCCGGAGAUGGAGCGAGCUCAUGCUGCAGGAGGCCACAGUUUGAGGACCUCUGCUUUAGUGACAGGAUUUCGGUAUCACUAAUAUAUAUGUGAAUGUCACACAGUGCAGCAUGACUUCUUGAUCCAUGUAUAUGAUGUAGUAUAAUCGAUAAGGGCUAUUGGUACAUCCCUCACCUCCAACCUUACUUUGUGCUGCAAAAUUUCAAAAUCCUCCUGUAUAGCUGUGUUUGAACUUUACAGUUAAAUGAUACCACCCCUAACUAAUGUUCCCUGGGGAACAUUGUGAGCUAUUGCUUAUGUGUAACUGGACCUCUGUAUCUAUUAACCAUGCGCACUUUUCCUUCUCCCCUACUUCCAAGGCACCUUUCAACUUCUAUAAGGUCAGUGUUUUAACUUCCGCACGUAGGUGAGAACACAUGGCAUUUGUUUUUCUGUGUCUGACUUAUUUCACUGAGCAUGAUGUUCUCCAGUUCCAUCCAUGUGGCUGCAAAUGAGAGACUUUCCUUCUUUUUUGGAGCUGAAUAAUAUCCCACCAAGAUUAUUUGCUUGUUAAAAAGGAUUCUUGAUCAAAUGUUAUUUUUUUGUGUGACAGAUGGCAUUUUAUGUGACACAUAGCAACCCCUAUAGGAAAAAGGAAUCAGCAGCUUUUUCUAAGGAUGUUUCCUUGUUUGUUCUGCAUACUGAGAAUCAGGACUUGACUCAAAUCACUAGCGAUGGCCCAUCUGUUUUAGAAAUCAGUCCACAAUGAUGUCUUCAGUUCUGUUAUAAUAUGAAUCUUCAAUGUCCCCAGCAGGCCCAUGUGUUAAAGUCUUGGUCUCCAGCCUUUAGUCUACUGAGUGGUAAGACCUGAUGGGAAGAGUCUGGGUCAUUAGUGAUGUGUGAUAGAAACGGGUGCUUGGAGGCCUGGUUCCUUCUCUUUCUCUUUUGCUUCCCAGCUGCCAUGGGGUGAGCAGGUUUCCUCUCGCAUGUGCUGUCUUAACACAAGCUCCAAAGCUACAGGACCGGGUGACCAUGGACUGAAUCUCCUGAAACCAUAAGCCAAAAAGAACUGUUCCUUCUGUAAGUUGUUCAUCUCAAUUAUCUUGUCACGGCAACAGAAAGCUGCAACAUAAAGUUUUAACCCGAAGCUCUGUAAAGACAGCAAAACAUCCUUUGGGAAUUUCUCGUUCUGUACAGAAUAAAAUUAGAAUCAGCUUAUGGUUGUUAUUUUAAAUAUGAGUAUGCAUAUGUAAAUGGAAGUCAGAUAUAUUGUCAGGACCUGAUGUUGACCUUCAGUCCUUUAGCAAGUUGUGGCUAAAAGCUUGUGUCUUCAGUGUCCGCUGUUUUUCUCUUCUGCUUUUUUUCUGACUGCUUUCUCUGUGUCUCAUGAUUCUCUCUUUUCAUAGAUGUUAGAGGGGUGUGAGGCCUUUCUGUUCCUGUGGGGUGUGAACAUUAAUGCUUGCAUGCUUACUUUCUGGGUUAAGAGACACUUGGCACAUUAGCAGAGCAUGCUCCAGGGUGUGUCCGGUAGGUUCCGGAGACACAGCCAUGGGUACUCUGUGUGGUCCCUCUCCUGCACAUCUCUGGUGCUGCUCCCCGGCUCUGCUCCCUGACGGUCAUGAGUUAAGCAGCUUUGAUUCAACAUAACCUUCCACCAGGAUGUUCCUGCCUUGGAGCAGCUGACCAUGGACUGAAUCUCUCCAAAGUGUGAGCUAAAUUAAACCUUUUCUCGUCCAAAUUGGAGAUGCAGGUAUAGUGGCCAGCAACUGGAAAGCUAAUACACAGGGUGAAAAUGUUAUCAAGACUGGCUAUCACUCUGUGCUUAAGGAAAUGUGAAGAAUGGAGGGAGAGACUCCGCAGGCAGGGGUCUAAUGACAAAAGGAAAUUAGGGGCAAGCUGCUCCAUCUGAGAAAAUAAGAUGCUCCAGAGAGGGAGACAUGGAAGGAGGAAGGAAUGGAGGAGAGGAGAUGGGUGAGGUGAGUCAGGGAAAGGCUGCUGUUGGUUGGGGUGAGGCUGCUGGCCACAGGUGGCAUGAGCCACAGGGACUUUAAAGACAGAUUCUGAAAUGCUGACCAUAAAUGCUCAGUGUGCCCUGGUCACUCUGUAACCUUCUACUGUUCUAUGCUGUAUGUGUGUGUGCACAUGCGUGUGUAAAGGGAGACUGUAUUUGCACCAGUGGCACGUGCAGCAGAAGUGAAGGCAUUGGAAUAAGGCCUUGGAAAGCCAUUUGGCCUUUCAUUGGCAUCGUAUUUUUCCAAAAGGUGGAAGGAGGUUUAGGUCUCUCCAUUACACCCGCUGGCAGGAGACUGAUAGCCACACUGUUCUUUAGCACUCAGUGCUGAUGACCUAGCAUGCUUUUUGUCUGCCAGCAAAUGUAACUUCAUCGUUAUUUGUGUUUAACUGUGGCUCCUCUUGUCUAGUUGCUCUCAGAUACUUAUCACAGUCAUGUGUCGCAUCCCAGUGUUUUGGUCAACCAUGGACCUCGUGGAUGAAGAUGCCUGAUGCAGCCUGAUACACUUUGGGUUCAGUGCAACCUGAAAACUGCUCCCCCAUUGUGAGGAGUCAGGAAGCCAUACCACUUCCUGUGUAACACCAUUUAUCAUCCCCCAGUGGGUGCUGGCAAAAGGCAUGAGACCCCAGGUAUGAGACAAAGGGCUGUGUUACUCAUCGUACGAAGAGCAACGUGACGACCAGCAGGCUUACCUUGACUCCCCUUGCUCUUGGAUCCAGUAUGAGCUCAGGUGCUAUUCAUGCAGAAAUUUUGUGAUACAGCCAAGGACCCUGAGAUUGAGGACAUCGCAUUAGCAUUGAAAAAAUAAAGCUGAGCAUCCAAUCUUCUAGUCACUGUAAGAGGGAAGCUUCCCUGUAGUUACACGGACACUGACUUGCUAGUUACUACUGUAAGUAGCUACACAACCACUUCUGACCAGAAGGCAGGCAAGCUUUGUAAUGUGGUACACACCACAAAGAUUUACACAGAUAUUUACGGUGCAUGGUGAACUAUUUCUCUAAAUAGUUGGUUGUCUUGUCAAUAAAUUUGAAAAUUAGAGAAAAUGUUCUUUUGUUUGUAUCCAAAUAUGUAUGAUUUUCAGUGCAUUUCAUUGAUUAGGGGCAUAUUUCCCUUCUGUUAUGAUUUAAUUUUAAAUUGAAGAACUUCCUUUGGUACUUCUUGAAGUGCAGAUCUGGUGGUAGUGAAUUCCCUCAGCUUUUGCUUAUAUGAAAAUAUCUUUAUUUCAUUUUUUUCCUCACUUUUUGAAACAGUUGUUUUUUGGUUGGAAAUAUUUUAAUUGUAUGUAGAAUUUAGGUAAGAGUUCCUUGUCCAGUGCCUUAAAGAUCUUGCCUCAUUAUAUUUUGGUCGACCUUGAAUCUGAUAAGCAGUUAAUGAUUAUUUUGAUAUGAUAUU